rnacentral:misc_RNA from 1 species
GAGACGAGUAGUUUGCUUUGUUUAUGCGGGUUCUCCUGAUAACGUUUUGAUUGGUCAAUCAGCCUGAAGUCACACGUCAUGUCCAUGCGAUCUUGCUUAUCAAUACUUAGCGACAGCGUAGGAAUUAUGGAAAUCUUGAAACCUCUGAAUAACCGCUGAAUCAUAAUAUCAAUGGUGAGGCAUUAGAUUAUACAAGGCAGUGAUAAUUCAAGAUUAGACCCGGAACCAAACUUGACACUUUAUCACCCCCUAUAGUAUUACCAUGGAGAAAAAGAAAUAUCGCUGGAUCAUUUGUGGAGCUGCAUUUUUCUGCCAGGCACUUGUGAGCGCUAUCGGGAACAAUGUAUUUCUGUUUAAUGUAAUGUUUCUGGAAGCAUUUUACCAGAGCAAGGCAGAUACAGCAUGGGCUGGAUCAAUCCUAUGGUUUACAAUGGCUCUUUUCUCACCAAUAGCUGGAAUAGUUGUAAAGAAGUUUAGCUGCAGGGUGUGUGUCAUGUUGGGUGGCUUAUUGAUGUGCGUUGGCCUCACUGUCAGUGCAUUCACCAGAACUCUCACAAUGCAGUAUCUCACAUUUGGUGUUAUUACUGGUGCUGGUAUGGGACUGAGUUUCACCCCAACAUUUGUAAUCAUUGCGGCAUACUUUGAUGAGCAACAGACACUUGCGACAGGAAUUGCAGCCUCUGGUAGCGGCAUGGGAGGCCUGGCCUUCUCCUUUAUCAUAUCGGCCCUGAAAGACCACUAUGGAUGGCGUGGAGCUUUUCUUUUCUUAGGGGCAUUAGUAUUCAAUGUAACGCUUUGUGGAGCAUUAAUGAAACCACUCCCUACUAGUCAGAAGAAAAAUAGCUCAAGUAUUAAUUUAAAAGUGCUAGUGGACCCUAUUUAUAUCAUACUAGGUUUUGCAACGUUUUUAUGGGGCUUAAGCCGAGGGAUAACACUUCUUCACUUAAUAGCAUUUGCCAUCAACCAAGGAAUGUCCUCCAUCCAAGCAACACUUAUUGCAUCCUUUGUAUCAGUUGGAAGUAUUAUUGGUAGACUUAUUAUUGGAGUGAUAGGAAAUUUGAAAAAUAUGGACCGAUCAAUUUUGUAUUGUGGAUCAUUUGCAGUUUCUGCCAUAAUAAUGGCCUUAUUGCCGACCCUGGGAAAAAUGUUUUGGGGACAGAUAUUACAAGCAGUAUUGUUUGGUGCUAUAAGUAAUGUUUUCUUCGUCUUGAUGGCCCCUAUAGCUGUUGACAUAUUGGGCAUUGAGAAUCUUUCUAUAAGCUUUGGAGUGCUGAUGGUUGUGCUGGGGACAGGAAGCAUGACAGGGCCACCUAUAGGAGGAUGGCUCUUUGAUCAGACACUUUCCUAUUCAAAGACAUUCUACACCUCAAGUGCCUUAGCAGUAAUAUCCAGCAUUGUAGGAGCAGUGGUGCCUAUCAUGCGUAGAAGAAAGAGACUCAAGGAAGCUUUACAAAAGAGUAUUGUAAAGUCACGGAUCUCAAUGGAAAACAUUUCUAAACAAUCUCCACAACAUGAAUCUAGUGAAACUGAAAAAAUGUUAACCUCUGCUGAUAAUGCGAAAGUUGAUAUUGUGAGCGAGAAUAUUUCUUGAAUGUAGUGCAAUAAUUCAAUGUGUUAAUUUAGUUAUUUGAAAACUCAAAUGAAGUCAAAGUACUAAAACUUCAGUGCAAAUAUAAUACUCUAAUCAAGAGAAGAUUUAGUCUUUGGCCAAGACCCUAUUCCCCCCAUCUCUCUUUCCUCAGACCCGAGUAGGAGAUUAUGAAGGAAGUUGGGGGCUACAGUGUCUUGAUGAGGCUAGACGACAACAUGUAAAGGGAAUAGGUUUCUUUUGGCCUAGGACAUGAUGGCUGCCCCCUCCACAGUAACAACAAUAAGCUUAGGUACCUAAACAUAUUAUCCAUAUCAUUGGAAAGACCAUUCAAUUCUGGAUAAAAUGUGGAGCGAAUGUGACAGGCAUUAAGAUGAUGUAAUCAGACAGUACUACUUCAUUUCAGCACUUCAGUGUCUUCUUUAAUUUGGUGAUUCUUAAUCAAUUUACAGUAUUUGAAAAUCU